rnacentral:tRNA from 1 species
GUCCGGAUGGCGCAGUGGUCAGUGCAUCUGCCUAAUAAGCAGGAGACCCAGGGUCGAAUCCCGGUCUGGCACA